rnacentral:rRNA from 1 species
UACGAAGGGGGCUAGCGUUGCUCGGAUUGACUGGGCGUAAAGGGCGCGUAGGCGGGAUGGCAAGUCGGUCGUGAAAUCCCUCGGCUCAACCGAGGAACGUCGAUCGAUACUGCUGUUCUUGAGGAUUGCAGAGGAGACUGGAAUUCCCGGUGUAGCGGUGAAAUGUGUAGAGAUCGGGAGGAACACCGGUGGCGAAGGCGGGUCUCUGGGCAAUUCCUGACGCUGAGGCGCGAAAGCGUGGGGAGCAAACGGG